rnacentral:lncRNA from 1 species
UUAUUCCCCCUUUUUAACUUAAAACUCUUUUGAUAUUUAACCUUUUUGAGUAAUAUUUUCCUGCUUCUGGGACAAUAUUUCGAAUAGUCGAGCUUGGCUGUCUUACGGACAGCUCUUGUUCUGUAUGAGAUUGAUUACAAUACUGAAAGAAUGAAAUUGGUCAAGAUUAGCUAUAUUCUGAAUACUGGCUUCAGUUGGUAUACAGGUCGGGCCGAAUGCUGGCUUCAAUUGGUAUACAGAUCAGGCCGAAUGCUGGCUUCAGUUGGUAUACACGUCGGGCUGAAAAUAAAAUAUUGUUCUUUUCCCCUGUUGUGACUGUUGAAACUAAACCACCAGUCUGAAAUAUUUUGAUGAACAGGUUCGAAUAAUUUUAAGUGGAAAAUAAGGAGUACCAAUUCUAGGUGUGUGACUCACUUGGGUGUUUUGUCAUUAUUGUCCAAAAGUGGUAAAGCAUUUCUUGAAGUGCUGGUAAAUUGGCCAUAGCCAUGUUUAUUUGAAAUACUUUUUUCAUCUGUUUUGUUUGCAUAGUUGUUAACCAUUUGUUGAAAUAGGCAGGAAAAAUAAUAUGCAGUUUUUAGCCCAGAGAUCUGUUGGCAACAUCCUAUGUGCUGAAAUAUGCUGACUGGAAGUUGUUCUGCACGUUAAACUGGAAGUAAUGAUGUAAUAGCAUUUAUCCAAGUAACACAGAUGAAAGCUCAACUUUACAUACAGAAACGAAAAUCAUUUUAUGAAUUGAUAUCAACCCAUUAAAUUGAUUAAAUAUUUUAAAACUGCAACAUGACUACCUUGAAUAAGAUAAAAUAUGAUAUUAUAAAGUUUGGCAUGUUAAGGUAGUUCUUCAGAAUUUACUUUGAAAUUCAAAUUCAAUUGCGGUAAAUAAAAAAGAUGGGGCCAUGUGCUUGAUUUUUUCUAACACUGAUUUUGUCUCCAAAUAAUAUUUCUUCUUCAUUCUUAUUUUAGCUCAACUGAACCAAGGCUUUAGAUUGAGGUAUUAGUGUAGGUGGAUGGUCUGGCAUCGGUUGUCAACAUUUUUUUGUAAACAUCUCCUCUGAAACUACUGGUCAAAAUUAAACCAAACCUGGUUUGUAGCAUCCUGGCAAGGUCCCUGCUGAAGUUUGUUCAAAUGGGGGAACUUGUUUCACAAGUUAAAAAUAGAAAAACCAUUGUAAGAAUUCUCAUGAACCAUGAGAUGGAUCUUCAUCAAACUUGGUCUGUAGCAUCAUUAUAAGGUCUUCUGAAAUGUGUCAAAAUGGGGCUUUUGGUCCUUUAUAGGAUCACUAGAGCUAGAAGAAAAUAGAAUACCUUUAAUAACUUCUGAUGGGUCUUCAUCAAACUUGGUCUAUAGCAUCAUUGUUAGGUCUUCUCCAAGAUUUAUUCAUGUCUUUAAAAAUAUAUCACUUGACCACUGUUGUUCCAAAGAACUUGGAUGUCGUUACUUUAAAGAAAGGUCUAGAUCAUUUCAUUGUAUAUAAUCCAUAAGUCAUUAAACCCAUUUAUAUAAUGAUUAGUACUAGUGAUGUUCUGUGUUGUAUUUUUAAUUCUGUUUUAAAUAUAUUUUAAACAUUUGCAUGAAAAAUAAAAGUGUUGAAAUAUU